rnacentral:rRNA from 1 species
AUUGUUUUCGAAUAUUUUUCAUGCAUCAAAGCUCGUUAAGACUAGAUGGGGUAUCCCUACAUGGCGGGUGGGACCCACGGCGAACGGUUCAUCAAGACUUAAAAAAAGAAUAGAUACGAUUGCAUUGCAUAUACUAACGGAUGCGAUCAUACCAGCACUAAUGCACCGGAUCCCAUCAGAACUCCGCAGCUAAGCGUGCUUGGGCGAGAGUAGUACUAGGAUGGGUGAUCUCCCGGGAAGUCCUCGUGUUGCAUCCCUCUUUUUUUUUUUUUUUUUUUUGGUUAAAACUUUAUGACUCUAUAACUUCUAUACCGUGAGGCCAAACUUGGCAUGUGAUACCUUUUCGCAAAGCCCAAAGAGAGCCCUCCGACGAAAGAAGCAAGACAAUGGAACAUUUCCAUUGACUUUUUGUCGACUCCAAAUUUUGACCUUUAACUACUUUUUCGGGAAAUCACU